AUCAGACUUGAAAGCGACUUGGAGAGGGCCACGCUUUCCACGGUCCCUGGGCCCAAGCUCAGUCCCCAAAGCCUGCACCCACUGUCUGGUGGCCUUGAGAAGCCAUUUCACUCCAUGUCUCAGUUUGCAUAUCUAUACAAAGCGGACAGGACCUUGUGGCCCAGGACAUGCAGGACAUAUCUGGGCAUGGAGACUAAGAAUGGAGUCCCAUGGGGUCCUGGCAUCCUGGCAUGAGGAUGUGUCUCCUCAGAAGACCUACCUCUGGAGGUGCCCUGUGUUGGUAGAGCUGGGAAUUAGAGGCUGGGUCCAUGCCUUUGGUGGGAGAGCUCCCCAGGUCUGACUUGAGUUACAGCUGGGCAAGCCUCCUUUUGGCUUCCUGCCCCGAGAUCUCCACUCACAUGUGGAGACAGACAGCACCCGUGUGGAGAGCUGGCUGGAAUGUGUGGAGAGCUGGCUUCGCUCUUCCAGCCCUGCCCACCACUGGGUUGAAGGGCAGACAAAAAGCGACUGGUCUGCACUAUCGCAGCAAGUUGAUGGCAGUCCUGGCUGGAGAGGCAAAACUUCCCUCGAGACGUGAGCAGCACCUGAGUGCUUCUGCGCCCUCUCUGAACUAGAAAGGUUAAGACUUCGGGGACACGUGGCCCUUUAAAUUCUGAUGGAGGCUGUGGACCUUCUAGAAGUCACAUACUCAUGUAGCUCUCAAAAUACCAAGCAGUUUCAGGAGCCUCGGGACUCCAGACUAAAGACCUCAGCCCUGGGGGUUUCAUCUGCCAUCCCUUUCUUACUCCAUCCAAGUGUGUCUCUCUCCUCCUGGUCGCCUCUUGUUUGG